rnacentral:misc_RNA from 1 species
UCUCAAAAAAAAAAGGAACAAAAAGAAGGGAAUCCAACAUUGAAGAACAAAGAUGUGAGUUCCACUUAGUGGCACCAGAGACACAACUAUUCUCCAAACCUCUCCAUAAAUCUCUAUUGAGACUAAAUCUCCAAGAAAAAGAUGCAAGUUCCAUUUCAAUUUGCAUUUGGAUGUCCAUUAAACUCUCAAACUGUUCCAGAAUCUCCAAGAAUGCAGCAUCGUUGUUAGUUCCUUUUUUUUCCCUCCUCCGUUAAGAUCACCAAGUAAAUAAGCAGCUAAAAGUGUCACAAGCAAUAGAAACUAUGCUAACAAACAAUAGUAAGCCACCUACUGCUGGGUAGUUCAAAAUAACAUGCAUUACAAUGCCAAAUUUUUAAUCAUAAACUCCAACUCUUACCUAGCAGAAGGGAAAAGCCGG